UAAAAAACAUUGGUAAUAGUUUUGUACCUUUUAUUACCAUAAGAAGUAUAACGUUGGAAAGUAUAUAGCAUGAUAUCAUGAUAUACACAUUUACUAAUGACGUCGUAAUCCGACCUUCUAUUUUUCAAUAGAGAGUUUUAAAGCUCCGUGUAGAUUAUCAAAAUCAACAAUAACCUCCAAACUUAUAUUAGUUUGAAAAAGUUCAUUCAAAUUUGUUUUUAAUUAAAUAUUGUAGUUUCACCAAUCUGUUAUCUUAUUUAUUUUAUCUUAUAUUGUCUUUUUUACUCUAAAAUAAAAACGUCAGGUAGACGUUAAAUUUCGACGC
rnacentral:sRNA from 1 species